GAUGAACGCUGGCGGCGUGCCUAAUACAUGCAAGUCGAGCGAACAGACGAGGAGCUUGCUCCUCUGACGUUAGCGGCGGACGGGUGAGUAACACGUGGAUAACCUACCUAUAAGACUGGGAUAACUUCGGGAAACCGGAGCUAAUACCGGAUAAUAUAUUGAACCGCAUGGUUCAAUAGUGAAAGACGGUUUUGCUGUCACUUAUAGAUGGAUCCGCGCCGCAUUAGCUAGUUGGUAAGGUAACGGCUUACCAAGGCAACGAUGCGUAGCCGACCUGACAGGGUGAUCGGCCACACUGGAACUGAGACACGGUCCAGACUCCUACGGGAGGCAGCAGUAGGGAAUCUUCCGCAAUGGGCGAAAGCCUGACGGAGCAACGCCGCGUGAGCGAUGAAGGUCUUCGGAUCGUAAAACUCUGUUAUUAUGGAAGAACAAAUGUGUAAAUAACUAUGCACGUCUUGACGGUACCUAAUCAGAAAGCCACGGCUAACUACGUG
rnacentral:rRNA from 1 species